rnacentral:rRNA from 1 species
AAAUUGAAGAGUUUGAUCAUGGCUCAGAUUGAACGCUGGCGGCAGGCCUAACACAUGCAAGUCGAACGGUAACAGGAAGCAGCUUGCUGCUUCGCUGACGAGUGGCGGACGGGUGAGUAAUGUCUGGGAAACUGCCUGAUGGAGGGGGAUAACUACUGGAAACGGUGGCUAAUACCGCAUAACGUCGCAAGACCAAAGAGGGGGACCUUCGGGCCUCUUGCCAUCAGAUGUGCCCAGAUGGGAUUAGCUAGUUGGUGAGGUAACGGCUCACCAAGGCGACGAUCCCUAGCUGGUCUGAGAGGAUGACCAGCCACACUGGAACUGAGACACGGUCCAGACUCCUACGGGAGGCAGCAGUGGGGAAUAUUGCACAAUGGGCGCAAGCCUGAUGCAGCCAUGCCGCGUGUAUGAAGAAGGCCUUCGGGUUGUAAAGUACUUUCAGCGGGGAGGAAGGUGUUGUGGUUAAUAACCGCAGCAAUUGACGUUACCCGCAGAAGAAGCACCGGCUAACUCCGUGCCAGCAGCCGCGGUAAUACGGAGGGUGCAAGCGUUAAUCGGAAUUACUGGGCGUAAAGCGCACGCAGGCGGUCUGUCAAGUCGGAUGUGAAAUCCCCGGGCUCAACCUGGGAACUGCAUUCGAAACUGGCAGGCUUGAGUCUUGUAGAGGGGGGUAGAAUUCCAGGUGUAGCGGUGAAAUGCGUAGAGAUCUGGAGGAAUACCGGUGGCGAAGGCGGCCCCCUGGACAAAGACUGACGCUCAGGUGCGAAAG